rnacentral:rRNA from 1 species
GAUGAACGCUAGCGGGAGGCUUAACACAUGCAAGUCGAGGGGCAGCAUGGAGUAGCAAUACUCUGAUGGCGACCGGCAGACGGGUGAGUAACGCGUAUGUAACCUACCCUGUACAGGGGGAUAGCCCGGAGAAAUUCGGAUUAAUACCCCAUGAUUAUAUCGAGAGGCAUCUUUUGAUAUUUAAAGUUUCGGCGGUACAGGAUGGGCAUGCGCAACAUUAGCUAGUUGGUAGGGUAACGGCCUACCAAGGCUACGAUGUUUAGGGGACCUGAGAGGGUGAUCCCCCACACUGGUACUGAGACACGGACCAGACUCCUACGGGAGGCAG